rnacentral:lncRNA from 1 species
UUUUCAAUGGGUUAACGAUAUAAAGAUUUCUUUUAACUAAUGUUUCCUUCAUAGAGAGUCUAUGUGAAUUAUUAUGCGAAUAAAAUGCAGCCGCAGUUACAAGGAAUAAUCAAUACCAGAAUCUGUUAAAAGGUUUUCAAUUAUUUUACUGGAAGAAAAAGUAUAUAACUUUCAACAACGAUGAGAAGAAGCUGACAACACUGCAUUCAUGAUAGAUUUUGGAAGAUACCGCCUUCUUUUUACGUAUACUGAGAGAAAAUCAUAUCUAUUAAUAUUCUAUCAAAGGAAGUGAAGAAAGAAUGCAUCUUAGUUAUUAUAAAUUUGAAAAACUAAUAGCAAUUACUGUGGAAGUCCAAGAACAAAAGUAAGAAAAUAAAAGAGAACAUGCUUGUAGCGUACGUGAUCUUAAGCGCGUCGAUCAUGAAAUUCGUUGCUACCUGCGAUGGUGCGAAGUGGGGAUUUCAAACGAAAAAGUAGUUUAAGAAAUUAAAAUCAAUUGACACCAGGCCUUUAUUUCCCACAUAAAUU